GACGAACGCUGGCGGCGUGCCUAAUACAUGCAAGUAGAACGCACAGUUUAUACCGUAGCUUGCUACACCAUAGACUGUGAGUUGCGAACGGGUGAGUAACGCGUAGGUAACCUGCCUGGUAGCGGGGGAUAACUAUUGGAAACGAUAGCUAAUACCGCAUAAUAUUAAUUAUUGCAUGAUAAUUAAUUGAAAGGUGCAAUUGCACCACUACCAGAUGGACCUGCGUUGUAUUAGCUAGUAGGUGAGGUAACGGCUCACCUAGGCGACGAUACAUAGCCGACCUGGGAGGGUGAUCGGCCACACUGGGACUGAGACACGGCCCAGACUCCUACGGGAGGCAGCAGUAGGGAAUCUUCGGCAAUGGACGAAAGUCUGACCGAGCAACGCCGCGUGAGUGAAGAAGGUUUUCGGAUCGUAAAGCUCUGUUGUAAGAGAAGAACGGGUGUGAGAGUGGAAAGUUCACACUGUGACGGUAUCUUACCAGAAAGGGACGGCUAACUACGUA
rnacentral:rRNA from 1 species